GGGAAGUCCCCCUGGUUUCUCCUGCUAGGACAUCGACUCAGAUGUGUCUUCUCAUUUUAUGGAAGACAUGUUGCCAGAGUAAAGCAUAAUAGAUUCAUUUCAAAAUGCAAUACUGAGAAAAUAUGGAAGUUGUGGCCUUCAGAAUUUACACUUACAGAGCAACUAGAACAGCGUGGUCAUAAGCAUAGAAACUCUGAUAUUGACCAGCAUGUUCAAGAACCAGCACAGCCCAUGGGAGAAGCCACUGUACUUUAGAGCUUUUACUUUGAACUCCAGGC